UUAACUGACGCUAAAGCUCGAAAGUGCGGGUAUCGAACAGGAUUAGAUACCCUGGUAGUCCGCACGGUAAACGAUGGAUGCCCGCUGUUGGCGAUAUAUUGUCAGCGGCCAAGCGAAAGCGUUAAGCAUCCCACCUGGGGAGUACGCCGGCAACGGUGAAACUCAAAGGAAUUGACGGGGGCCCGCACAAGCGGAGGAACAUGUGGUUUAAUUCGAUGAUACGCGAGGAACCUUACCCGGGCUUGAACUGCCAGCGAACGAUUCAGAGAUGAUGAGGCCCUUCGGGGCGCUGGUGGAGGUGCUGCAUGGUUGUCGUCAGCUCGUGCCGUGAGGUGUCGGCUUAAGUGCCAUAACGAGCGCAACCCCUUUCUCCAGUUGCCAUCAGGUAGAGCUGGGCACUCUGGAGACACUGCCACCGUAAGGUGUGAGGAAGGUGGGGAUGACGUCAAAUCAGCACGGCCCUUACGUCCGGGGCUACACACGUGUUACAAUGGGUGGUACAGAGAGUCGGUCGCUGGCAAUAGCGAUCCAAUCCUAAAAGCCAUCCUCAGUUCGGAUUGGGGUCUGCAACCCGACCCCAUGAAGCUGGAUCGCUAGUAA
rnacentral:rRNA from 1 species